GGGCUCACACAAGCGGUGGAGCAUGUUGCUUAAUUCGAGGCAACGCGAAGAACCUUACCUGGGCUUGACAUGGCUGGAUUAACCCCAUGAAAGUGGGGCCACACCCGCAAGGGUGGAACAGUCACAGGUGCUGCAUGGCUGUCGUCAGCUCGUGCUGUGAAGUGUCAGGUUAAGUCCUUUAACGAGCGCAACCCCUAUCGUUAGUUGCUCGGCGCAAGCCAGUACUCUAGCGAGACUGCCGGUGUCAAACCGGAGGAAGGUGGGGAUGACGUCAAGUCCUCAUGGCCUUUAUGCCCAGGGUUGCAAACGUGCUACAAUGGCGUGCACAAAGCGGCGCGAAGCGGCGACGCAGAGCAAAUCGCAAAAAACACGCCCCAGUUCGGAUUGCAGGCUGCAACUCGCCUGCAUGAAGUUGGAAUCGCUAGUAAUCGGAGAUCAGCUACGCUCCGGUGAAUGUGUUCCUGAGCCUU
rnacentral:rRNA from 1 species